AGUGAACGCUGGCGGUAGGCCUAACACAUGCAAGUCGAACGGCAGCACAGUAAGAGCUUGCUCUUACGGGUGGCGAGUGGCGGACGAGUGAGGAAUACAUCGGAAUCUACUUUUUCGUGGGGGAUAACGUAGGGAAACUUACGCUAAUACCGCAUACGACCUACGGGUGAAAGCAGGGGAUCUUCGGACCUUGCGCGAUUGAAUGAGCCGAUGUCGGAUUAGCUAGUUGGCGGGGUAAAGGCCCACCAAGGCGACGAUCCGUAGCUGGUCUGAGAGGAUGAUCAGCCACACUGGAACUGAGACACGGUCCAGACUCCUACGGGAGGCAGCAGUGGGGAAUAUUGGACAAUGGGCGCAAGCCUGAUCCAGCCAUACCGCGUGGGUGAAGAAGGCCUGCGGGUUGUAAAGCCCUUUUGUUGGGAAAGAAAAGCAGCAGGUUAAUACCCCGCUGUUCGGACGGUACCCAAAGAAUAAGCACCGGCGAACUUCGG
rnacentral:rRNA from 1 species